CGACGAACUCUGGUAUUGAUUGGUGCUUGCAUCAUGAUUUACAUUUGAGUGAGUGGCGAACUGGUGAGUAACACGUGGGAAACCUGCCCAGAAGCGGGGGAUAACACCUGGAAACAGAUGCUAAUACCGCAUAACAACUUGGACCGCAUGGUCCGAGUUUGAAAGAUGGCUUCGGCUAUCACUUUUGGAUGGUCCCGCGGCGUAUUAGCUAGAUGGUGGGGUAACGGCUCACCAUGGCAAUGAUACGUAGCCGACCUGAGAGGGUAAUCGGCCACAUUGGGACUGAGACACGGCCCAAACUCCUACGGGAGGCAGCAGUAGGGAAUCUUCCACAAUGGACGAAAGUCUGAUGGAGCAACGCCGCGUGAGUGAAGAAGGGUUUCGGCUCGUAAAACUCUGUUGUUAAAGAAGAACAUAUCUGAGAGUAACUGUUCAGGUAUUGACGGUAUUUAACCAGAAAGCCACGGCUAACUACGUGCCAGCAGCCGCGGUAAUACGUAGGUGGCAAGCGUUGUCCGGAUUUAUUGGGCGUAAAGCGAGCGCAGGCGGUUUUUUAAGUCUGA
rnacentral:rRNA from 1 species